CACGUAAGCAAUCUACCUUUGGGUCUGGAAUAACUUCGAGAAAUCGAGGCUAAUACCGGAUAAUGCAGCGGCACCGCAUGGUGAUGUUGUUAAAGUUUAAGUAAUGCCUAAAGAUGAGCUUGCGUCUGAUUAGCUAGUUGGUAGGGUAAAAGCCUACCAAGGCAACGAUCAGUAGCUGGUCUGAGAGGAUGAUCAGCCACACUGGAACUGAGACACGGUCCAGACUCCUACGGGAGGCAGCAGUGAGGAAUAUUGGGCAAUGCCCGUAAGGGUGACCCAGCAACGCCGCGUGGAGGAUGAAGGCCGUAAGGUUGUAAACUCCUGUUAGAGGAGAAGAAUAGUACCGGUUGGACCGGUAUAUGACUGUACCCUCAGAGAAAGCCCCGGCUAACUACGUG
rnacentral:rRNA from 2 species